GGGGGGAGCGCAGGAUCCUGGGCUGUGUCCCCCGGUGCCCUGGGCUCCGGGGCCUCUGCUGCUGGAAUCACACUCCCGGGCCAGCGGCUCCCU
rnacentral:pre_miRNA from 1 species